AGGCAGGGUGCCUGUUUGACAGGUCCUGGGUACCCUAGGAGCAGCCUGAGGUGUGUCUUCCCCACACCUCAACUCCGAGACCCGGAGCUCACAGAACAAGUCCUUCAUUUGACCUGUUCAACAGCAUCGUCGUUUACAUGGUCAACGUCACUUUUUAAAGCAGUCUCUCCCAAGCUGUCUGGACUCAUAUGAAGGUUGGUCCUCCCAGAAAGCUCCAUCAAGCCCCCAAUAUUAAUCUUAUAG